GGCAAAGGGAGCAAGAAGAGAGGGUUCUGGGUAGAGGAAACCCCUACCAGCAAAGACCAAGAUGCAAAGAGCUUGCAUAUGUUGCUUCCUACUGUGUGUCAGGCCCCAUGUGAGGUACUGGAGUGCAGAGCUGAAUAAAGCACAAUCCAGCCCUCAGAGCACCUACAGUCUGAGUGGAGGAGACAACCAAGGACAUGAACCCCCCUCAGCAGUGGUUCUUGGCGCCUCUUCCACAGAGCUCCCAUUGCUGAUCUCACUGCCUAGUUACUCCAUGUCCCAGAACACCCAGAAUCCAGAUGUCUGACCACACAAACUCUCUGCAUCUGGAACAUGUGCAAACACCUGUUGAGAGACCUCCAGAAUUAAUCCUACGUUUUCGGGCCAUCCUUGGAAGAGUGAUGCCCUCCAGCCUCUGUGAGAAGCUCUGCACAUGAAUACCCUGUAUGGAAUCCUUUGGAAACUUUCCACCAGUGCUCUUCCAGAUGUCUGGGGGGACACAAAGAGGAGUGUCUUUGUAGAUGGGGCCUGGUCUGUGGUGAUGCAUGCAGGCAGAUUUGGGUGUAGAUCCCUAGUUCUAAGUAGCUUCGUGAUCCUUGCUGUGUUACCUGAGAGUGACCUUGACCUGAAGGUAGUCCAAAGUUCUUCACUCACUGUGCCAUGGAUCUCACUGAUAGUCUAGGGAGGCCUAUGGAUCUGUUCUCAGAAUGUUUUAAUGUUUAAUGUCCUAAAUGUAGAAAAUAAAAACCGCAAGAUUUCAAAGGAAAUCAAUUAUGCUCAAUACAAUUAUUAAAAUAUGUGGUACAGAAAUGUUCCUUUAUUAACACAUUAAAGUAAUGAUAUCUGAUGGUGAGCAAAAAUACCUACUAUAAUUCAAAGUAUUGAUGAGUAUAAAACUAUAUUUUAAGUUUUCUACCACUGUACUGUGAUUUUAAAAUAUCUGUGGUUUCUAUUGUAAUCAUUGUAGAUUACUACUAAUCCUACUGUAAUUUGUCGCUUAUGUUCAGAAACUGUUUAAUUUCAAUGAUUUUUUUCCCCAUUACCUGAGGUCCAGACAGAAUGUCUCCUAACUCAUUCAUUGAUCCAAUAAGUAUUUAUGAAAAACUUUCUAUGUGCCAGGCAUCAUUCCAGGAUAGGCAAAGUUUCUACCCUCACUGAGUUUUGAUUCUUGCUAUGAGUCAGAUAACAAAUUAAUAUGGAGUGCCUGGGUUGUGUGGCCCAUUGAGCUUCUGACUCUUGGUUUUGGCUCAGGUUAUGGUCUCAGGUUUUAGUAUGGAGCCCCCCGUCUGGCCCCGGCUCAGCAUGGAGUCUGCUUGUCCUUCUCCCUCCCCCUCUGACCCUUCCCCAUUCCCACUCACUUGUGCUGUCUUUUUCUCUCUCUCUAAAAUAAAUAAAUAAAAUCCUAAAGUCAAAGUA